rnacentral:rRNA from 1 species
GACGAACGCUGGCGGCGUGCUUAACACAUGCAAGUCGAACGAAGUGGCGGACGGGUGAGUAACGCGUAAUCAACCUGCCCUUCAGAGGGGGACAACAGUUGGAAACGACUGCUAAUACCGCAUACUGAAGGAGGGGCUUGCGUCUGAUUAGCUAGUUGGAGGGGUAACGGCCCACCAAGGCGAUGAUCAGUAGACGGUCGGAGAGGGUGAACGGCAAAAUUGGGAAGGAGAAACGGCCCAGACUCCUACGGGAGGCAGCAGUGGGGAAUCGUCCGAAAUGGACGAAGGUCUGACGGAGCAACGCCGCGUGAGUGAUGACGGCUUUCGAGUUGAAAAGCUCUGAUAAUCGGGACGCGGUACCGGAAUAGAAAGCCACGGCUAACUACGUGCAAGCGGCGGCGGUAAUUC